GACGAACGCUGGCGGCGCGCCUAACACAUGCAAGUCGAACGGGGCUAUUUUGGCAGAAGUUUUCGGAUGGACGCCGGGAUAGCUUAGUGGCGAACGGGUGAGUAACACGUGAGGAACCUGCCCCAGAAUGGGGGACAACAGUUGGAAACGACUGCUAAUACCGCAUAAGCCCACGGUACCGCAUGGUACAGCGGGAAAAGGAGCAAUUCGUUUUGGGAUGGACUCGCGUCCAAUUAGGUAGAUGGUGAGGUAACGGCCCACCAUGCCGACGAUUGGUAGCCGGACUGAGAGGUUGAACGGCCACAUUGGGACUGAGACACGGCCCAG
rnacentral:rRNA from 1 species